AGAUUCCUCAUUGUAUGUUAGUGAGUUAAAAGAGUUAACAAAUGAACUGGUAUGAACUAAAACCAGAUAAAUUGAAGUAUGUAUGUAUAUAUAGUAUCCAGAUAAACCUUGGCAAGAAGUAUUCUAGAAGCUUAGGUAUAUAAACCAAACAUUUAAGUAGAAUCAAAUCAAUAGAAUAAAGCAAUCCAUGUAAAAUUCCAAAAGGAAUAAACAUAGAAACUUCAAGCAAGAUUAGAUCAAAGAUCCGAUUAAGAACUUCGACUAAUUAAGCUAUCGAGUUGGAUCGUAGAUUCAUCAUGCCAGGUGAUCCAAAAUCAAGUAAUCCUUAACAUGUUAACCAGGUUUUCUGUGGUUUCCUGUAAACUUUUCAUGCACUUCCAAAUCCUUUUUUAAUCAUUUCCUGCUAAAAUUUCGCCCAUAGAUUCCCGCACUAGAUUCCCACAUUGGCAACGACAAUUCUUAACUGGCUAAGAACUAUCUAGUUUUCCCAUUUCAUGGAGUGUGACCAAACCUUCAUUAUUAAAAGACCCACCAGAUUAGGCCUAACCGACCAACAAUGUAUCAUUAUGUUUCCCCACCAAUCAAGCAAAGCGUGCUGCCAACUCCAUGUUCUGUGAUGCUCUCAAAUCCCCCUGAAAACUCGCCAC
rnacentral:lncRNA from 1 species